AUUGAACGCUGGCGGCAUGCUUUACACAUGCAAGUCGAACGGCAGCACGGGUGCUUGCACCUGGUGGCGAGUGGCGGACGGGUGAGUAAUACAUCGGAACGUGUCCAGAAGAGGGGGAUAACGCAUCGAAAGAUGUGCUAAUACCGCAUAUGCUCUGAGGAGGAAAGUAGGGGAUCGAAAGACCUUACGCUUUUGGAGCGGCCGAUGUCUGAUUAGCUAGUUGGUGGGGUAACGGCCUACCAAGGCGACGAUCUGUAGCUGGUCUGAGAGGACGAUCAGCCACACUGGGACUGAGACACGGCCCAGACUCCUACGGGAGGCAGCAGUGGGGAAUAUUGCACAAUGGGCGAAAGCCUGAUGCAGCAAUGCCGCGUGUGUGAAGAAGGCCUGCGGGUUGUAAAGCACUUUCAGUAGGGAGGAAACAGUAGCCGGUUAAUAUCCGGUUGCCUUGACGUUACCUACAGAAGAAGCACCGGCUAACU
rnacentral:rRNA from 1 species